AAAAAGACAGAGCUGGAAGGUUGCACAUUUCCAUUGCUCCUAGAAUAAGCAAAUCAACUCUGCCAUUAUCUUUGGAAUUUGGGCAGGAAAUGAUCGAAUAUGGAGGAUGAAGCCAGUUUGAAGAGAUCAAUUCAACAGUCACCAAGUUCAGCACUGCAGCCUGAACCCAUCAGGUAUCUGCUGUGAGGACUGCAUUCAUGAACGGCUCUACUGUGACAGCUCAGAUGUUACGGUCCAUAAAAGUAAACUUCACAACUGAUCAACUGCGAGAUAGUUAUGGAGGGAUUCUUUUGGCCCAUACCUCCAACAACCUCCAACAGGAGUCAAUGGACAUCUACACCAGGUGGUGUGUGAGAG